CAAAAAAGAAGCUGAAAAUCACAGGAAGCAGGUUACCAGAAGCAAUGGAUAAGCUGCUGGCCGGCUCGAUUGAAUUAUUGUGUGGGAGGACUCGUGCCUACCUACCUACCGGAUUACAGGUCAGCUCUUGUGCAAAUCUGCAUGUUUGUUAGUGGAAGACCUUAUUAGUGUGCAGCAGAUACGCCACUGAUUUGCUGAGCUCACGAUCGAGCAGAAGAGUAG